GACAGAGGGUGCAAACGUUGUUCGGAAUUACUGGGCGUAAAGAGCGUGUAGGCGGCCAGGUAGGUCUGGUGUGAAAACUCGAGGCUUAACCUUGAGAUGUCAUCGGAAACCAUUUGGCUAGAGUCCGGAAGAGGAAAGUGGAAUUCCUGGUGUAGCGGUGAAAUGCGCAGAUAUCAGGAAGAACACCAAUGGCGAAAGCAGCUUUCUGGGACGGUACUGACGCUGAGACGCGAAAGCGUGGGGAGCGAACAGG
rnacentral:rRNA from 1 species